GAACAGCAGGGACCUGACGGCAGCCCCCGCACCCCUCCCUGGGCUGAAGUUCAGGCUGUCUCAUCCCUUGCCAGGAGCUCAGGGCUGAGCUAGGUUGGCAGGGGAUGGGUUGAGGGUCUGUUGUCCAGCAGAUUGCCCGGGCCCCACCCAGGCCACUCAGAAAACACCUGUGAGAGCCCCGCAGGCAUGCAGGGCACUGUCGUGAGCACACCAGUGGGGACAGACGUCCAGGCAGGAGGGAGCAGCCAGACCCCCAUCCCGCCAGGGUCACCAGCUGGGCAUGGUGGCGCAUGCCUGUAAUCCUAGCUAUUCGGGAGGCUGAGACAGGAGAAUCACUUGAACCCGGGAGGCGGAGGUUAUGGAGAGCCAAGAUCGCACCACUGCACCCCAGCCUGGGCAACAAGAGUAAAACUCCGUCUCAAAAAAAAAAAAAAAAGAAGAAAGAAAAAGAAAAAAAGAAAGGCAACUACAGAAGGUGAGGAGAACCACCCGAGAUCACCAGAGGGAACCGUGGAAGGUCCGUGGUCCACCAGCCAGGCUGGGGCACCUCAGCCCCUGGGCAGAGCACCAAGCAGGGCCGUGCCCUGGUAAAGGAGGGCACAGUCAGCCCCAGACUACAAGCUGCCUUGGUCCUCCCAGCAGGGCUUAAAAGCAAGACCCCAAAGGACCAAACAGCUUCCAAGUAACUUCCUGGAGUCCUGAGCAAAGUAAGCUUUUCUCAGCUUUGCUACAAAAAUAGUCAGCACCCAGCAAAAUUCACAAUCCCUGUCACCCAUUCAAAAAUCACCAGGCAUGCGAGGAAGCAGGAAAAGGAAAAUGCACCCAGAAGAGAAGGAGCACCCAUCAACGGGGCCGCCUCAGAAGCAACAGACGACCGGGCAAGUCCAAGGGCACCGAGGCACCUGCCACCACUGCGCCCAGCACUCCCGAAGCCAGAGGGCAGGUGGGACAUAGGUGGGGACGUUCUGAGCAAAAACGCAUGCGGCCAAGCUGGGGUCGCCCGUGGGAAGAGGGCGAAACGCUUGCACGUGGGUAGGGCAGUCUCUGCAAAGGGCUGUGUGGGCUCCGGGACCAGAUGCUGUGAGGGCCUCACCAGCUGCGAGGUGGCAGGACCAGAUGCUGUAAGGGCCUCACCAGCUGCAAGGUGGCUGUCUCUGCCCCACCCCACACGCUCAAUGCAUGUUAAUUUCAUCUUGUUUCAUUCUCAUUCCCAUUUUACAGAUUGAGGUUCAGAGAAGUCAGAAGCCUUCCCAAGGCUGCACAGCCAGAAGUGGGCACAGCGUCCUGGGGUGAGGGCUCACACCAUCUGCGCCACCUGCCCUCCAGGUCCCACCAUCCUCACAAAUUCAAGGCAAGGUUCUGGAACCCCCAGCCCUCCAGAAAGGGGAAGCUGAGCCCAGGAAGCACAUCUGAGAGUUCGGGUCCGUGAGUUUACCCUGCGCUCACGCCGAUUCCUCCUGCAUCCUCUGUCGGGAUGUCUGGAUUCCAGAGUCCCCACCCUGAUUUUCCAACCUUGCCUCAGCCUUGGCUUCUCCCUUUUGGGGUGGGACAGGGAACCCCAGCAGCAGGUGUAUGAGGGCAUGAGAGGGCAGGAGGUGCCCUAUGCCUACCCGCCAGACCAGGGCCCCAGCCCUGGACACAGGGAGAGAGCAUGAGCGCUGUUCCUGCUCCCACUCCCUCAUCUGAGCAGGUGCUCCCAGGUACAGGUGCCGAGUCCCACCCAGAGGGGCCCUGCCACAACCAGAGGACUGACAAACCCAGACACAACUGUCUCUUCCCCCUGGUCAGGGUCUGGGCAAGGGUCCCUCUGGGCUGCUGUCCAUGCUGUGAGUGUCCGUGCUGUGGGCCACUGCCGUGGGUGUCCGUGCUGUGGCCUGCUGUCGUGGGUGUCCGUGCUGUGGCCCGGUAUGUGAGGUUGUGUUUCCAACAGGGAGUAAUUUGGCUUUGGUUACCUGAGGGUCUGAGGACAGGCACUAAAGCCCCACCUUUCUGGCUUCCAGAGUUGCCGGCUCCAGCAGCAGCCUCCAGGCCUGAGCAGGCUCUGGGGCUCCCACACCUGGGGGGCCAGGGUGGGGGUGACAAAGGGCCCCAGGCGACGGCUGAGAGCCGGCCCUGAGCCGGCCAGGGCGGGCAGCAGAACAGCCACCAGCUCCCGCCAGGCCCUGGCAGCAUGAGCGAUGGCAGGCCCAGCGAUAAGAAACUAAUAAUUUAUGCUUCCAGCUCCCGGGGCCGGCGCCGAGGGAAGGUUGGGCCACAGCCUCCCCCGCACUGAGCGGCUGCAGUCCUUUAUUGCACAAAUUAUUAACGACCAGAGAAUGAAUGACUCUGUAAUCAGAUCAGGUUGCCAGCACUUUUCAUUGCAUUUAUUUGUAUAAAUUCUGAAGUCGGGGUCUGCCCUAAGCUCAGCAAGCCAGCGUCGUGCUGGCUGGGCGCCCAGGCCCCCACCCAGAAGGAACACCCGUCCCUCACCCUGCCCACGGGUUCCAGAGGACAGAGGGCUCAGGAAGGGGUGCAGGGAACUGCUCUGAGCCAGAAGCCGAGUUCAUAGGCACCCAAAGCAGCCCUGGGCCAGGGUCAGAGCUCUGUCCUUGAACCUGCCUCAGGGAAGAUUCCCAACUGUCCUCAGAGCCAGGGGCACCCAGGGCUUGGGAGCUGAAGGGGGGUGGGUCUGAGACCAGGAGAAGGCUCCCCAGCCCUGAGGGAACCCUCAUCACCCCCCUGCUCUCCUCGAUCCAGGAACCGUCCCAGGGUUGCCCCAGGCCUCCUGGCUCUCCCGCCUCCAUCCCGUGGGCUUCCCGGGAGCCCCAGGCUGGUCUCCCACCUGCCCCCUCCUUUUCUGGUCUUGCCUGGGCUGGGCCCAGGGGCUCUGGCUGUGGGUUUUCUGUGCAGCACCUCGCAGUGAGCCUGACGCUGGUCCUCUCCUGAGCCCCCGUUUAAUCUUAUUGACCUCUCGUUACGCUACAGAGCGUAAAUUCAGAUUUAGAGAUCUUAUGUUCCAUCAUAAAUUGGGCUGGCAGACUUCCGAUCAACAAGAUAAAGCUGUCUUCCGUGAGGCUGGUGUUUUAUUAGUCUUGGUCCCAGUGCUGCAGGUGUGGGCUGGGGAGUGCCUGAGGGAGGGGCCUCUGCUUGGGACCCUUCCUGCCUGGGCGAGGGGCUGAGUCCCUCCUGCCGCCCGGGCUGGGCCCCAGGUACCUGGCGAACAAAGGGACCCUGAAAUUGCCGCCUUUCCCCUGCCUCUUGGGCUCUGCAUAUGAUUUCAGCCAAUCCCUGCUGCCCAGCCUCGCCCACCCGCUUCUGGGGCCACCCCCGCGUUAAGCAGGGCUGUGCAGCAUGGGGGUCCUGUUCUCAUUCAGCCACCGGCACGGCCACCCCAGUGUGAUUCCUCAGCAGCCACACAGAAGACAGAUGGUCCAUAGGAGACUCAGAAACAGAGAAGCCUCACGCCAGGUCCACAGAGGCACCCACGCCCGCCAAAAGGAUGCCACGCACUCACCCUGCCCUCUGGGGAGCACAGUGGGAGUCCAGGACACCGCCUUGGAUGGGGUGAGGCUCCGUCUGUGACCUCAGAAAGUCAGUCUGGGGCUGGACUUGACAUGGGAAACAGAAUAAAACUGCCUGUCCACCU
rnacentral:lncRNA from 1 species